rnacentral:tRNA from 4 species
CGGGGAAUAGCUCAGCCCGGUAGAGCACUGCCUUCGGGAGGCAGGGGCCGGAGGUUCGAAUCCUCUUUCCCCGACCA